rnacentral:tRNA from 1 species
GGGACAUAGCUCAGUUGGUAGAGUGCCUGCCUCGCAUGCACAAGGUGGGUUCAAUCCCCAGUACCA